rnacentral:rRNA from 1 species
GAUGAACGCUGACAGAAUGCUUAACACAUGCAAGUCAACUUGAACUUCGGUUUGGGUGGCGGACGGGUGAGUAACGCGUAAAGAACUUGCCUCACAGAUAGGGACAACAUUUGGAAACGAAUGCUAAUACCUGAUAUUAUGAUUUUAGGGCAUCCUAGAAUUAUGAAAGCUAUAUGCGCUGUGAGAGAGCUUUGCGUCCCAUUAGCUAGUUGGAGAGGUAACGGCUCACCAAGGCGAUGAUGGGUAGCCGGCCUGAGAGGGUGAUCGGCCACAAGGGGACUGAGACACGGCCCUUACUCCUACGGGAGGCAGCAGUGGGGAAUAUUGGACAAUGGACCGAGAGUCUGAUCCAGCAAUUCUGUGUGCACGAUGAAGUUUUUCGGAAUGUAAAGUGCUUUCAGUUGGGAAGAAAGAAAUGACGGUACCAACAGAAGAAGUGACGGCUAAAUACGUGCCAGCAGCCGCGGUAAUACGUAUGUCACGAGCGUUAUCCGGAUUUAUUGGGCGUAAAGCGCGUCUAGGUGGUUAUAUAAGUCUGAUGUGAAAAUGCAGGGCUCAACUCUGUAUUGCGUUGGAAACUGUAUAACUAGAGUACUGGAGAGGUAAGCGGAACUACAAGUGUAGAGGUGAAAUUCGUAGAUAUAUGUAGGAAUGCCGAUGGGGAAGCCAGCUUACUGGACAGAUACUGACGCUGAAGCGCGAAAGCGUGGGUAGCAAACAGG